CACGCUGCUCUUUACACAGAGCGAUAAGAUGAAAUAGCUUCCUCCCCCUCAUGUCGCUACAGAAAAACAGGGAUGGGGAAAAAAUAAUCCCUCAUCCCUUGCCCUGCCUGUGGUGAUAAGCAUAAUGCAAGCAUUUGUUUUUUAAAGGAGGCAGCCAAGACAAUUACAUUAUUUAUUGAACAAAGCCGUUUUGGAGAUUUCUGCACAGCGAAGGUUUUCUUAGUCAUUUUGCACCAAAUCCGUUGCAGCAGCAAGGCCAGAGAGUUUGCCUUGACUCCCCUCACUACCAAAAUAAAUGUGCAGGGCAGGAUUGUUCCACUGAGCAGCCGCGAGUGGGGAGAAAGGAGAAGAAAGGAGAUGGUAUGUGCCGGCAGCUCUAAACUGAAUGCAGUGAGGAUUGCUAUGUACGGGAGAGUUCAGGGGAGAAAGAGGAGGAAGUCACAGAGGCAGCCCAGGCUCGCAGGAUGGCGAGAGCCAAGCUGAAGAAUUCCCCUUCAGAGAGCAACUCACAUGUGAAGACUGUCCCACCAGCAACGACAGAAGAUGUCCGUGGGGUGAGCCCCUUGCUGCCAGCGCGGAGGAUGGGCUCCCUGGGGAGCGAUGUCGGACAGAGGCCCCACGCCGAGGAUUUCAGCAUGGAUUCCUCCUUCUCUCAGGUGCAGGUGGAGUUCUACGUCAAUGAGAACACCUUCAAGGAGCGCCUGAAGCUCUUCUUCAUCAAAAACCAGCGAUCGAGUCUGAGGAUCCGACUCUUCAACUUCUCCCUGAAGCUGCUCACCUGCCUGCUUUACAUCGUGCGCGUGCUGCUUGACAACCCGGAGGAGGGCAUAGGAUGCUGGGAAUGCGAGAAGCAGAACUACACCCUCUUCAAUCAGUCCACCAAGAUCAACUGGUCACACAUCUUCUGGGUGGACAGAAAGCUGCCACUGUGGGCUGUCCAGGUCAGCAUUGCCCUGAUCAGCUUUCUGGAGACCAUGCUGCUCAUCUAUCUCAGCUACAAGGGGAACAUCUGGGAGCAGAUUUUCCGCAUUUCUUUCAUCCUUGAGAUGAUCAACACAGUGCCCUUCAUUAUCACAAUAUUUUGGCCUCCCCUGCGGAAUUUGUUCAUUCCUGUCUUUCUGAACUGCUGGCUUGCCAAGUACGCCUUGGAGAACAUGAUAAAUGACCUGCACCGUGCCAUCCAGAGGACACAGUCUGCCAUGUUCAACCAGGUGCUCAUCCUCAUCUGCACCCUCCUGUGUCUCGUCUUCACUGGUACCUGCGGCAUCCAGCAUUUGGAGAGAGCGGGAGAGAAGCUCUCCCUCUUCAAAUCCUUCUACUUUUGCAUCGUCACCUUUUCCACUGUGGGCUAUGGGGAUGUGACACCCAAGAUCUGGCCUUCCCAGCUCCUUGUUGUCAUCAUGAUCUGUGUUGCGCUGGUUGUGCUGCCGCUGCAGUUCGAGGAACUCGUCUACUUGUGGAUGGAGAGGCAGAAGUCAGGGGGCAACUACAGCCGGCACCGCGCCCAGACAGAGAAGCACGUUGUGCUGUGUGUCAGCUCACUCAAGAUUGACCUCCUCAUGGACUUCCUCAAUGAGUUCUAUGCCCACCCAAGACUGCAGGACUACUACGUGGUGAUCCUCUGCCCCACGGAGAUGGACAUCCAGGUGCGGCGGGUGCUGCAGAUCCCUCUGUGGUCACAGCGGGUGAUCUACCUGCAGGGCUCUGCGCUGAAGGACCAGGACCUCAUGAGAGCCAAGAUGGACAACGGGGAAGCCUGCUUCAUUCUCAGCAGCCGGAAUGAGGUGGACCGCACAGCGGCGGACCACCAAACCAUCCUGAGAGCCUGGGCCGUGAAAGAUUUUGCCCCAAACUGCCCUCUCUAUGUGCAGAUCCUAAAGCCGGAGAACAAGUUUCAUGUCAAGUUUGCUGAUCACGUCGUCUGUGAGGAGGAGUGCAAGUACGCCAUGCUGGCGCUCAACUGCGUCUGCCCCGCCACCUCCACGCUCAUCACGCUGCUGGUGCACACCUCCCGUGGGCAAGAGGGCCAGGAGUCCCCGGAGCAGUGGCAGAGGAUGUACGGGCGCUGCUCAGGCAAUGAAGUCUACCACAUCCGCAUGGGAGACAGCAAGUUCUUCAUGGAGUACGAGGGGAAAAGCUUCACCUACGCCGCCUUCCACGCGCACAAGAAGUACGGUGUCUGCCUGAUCGGCAUCCGCAGGGAGGAGAACAAGAGCAUCCUGCUGAACCCCGGCCCACGGCACAUCAUGGCCGCGUCUGACACCUGCUUCUACAUCAACAUCACCAAGGAGGAGAACUCUGCCUUUAUCUUCAAGCAGGAGGAGAAGCAGAAGAAGAAGGGCUUUGCAGGCAGGGGCACCUAUGAUGGCCCUUCCCGCCUGCCCGUGCACAGCAUCAUCGCCAGCAUGGGUACAGUGGCCAUGGACCUGCAGAACACUGAGUGCCGCCCCACCAACAGCAGCAAGCUGGCGCUGCCGGCAGAGAACGGCUCAGGCAACCGCCGGCCCAGCAUCGCACCCGUGCUCGAGCUGGCUGACACCUCAUCCCUGCUGCCCUGCGACCUGCUCAGCGACCAGUCGGAGGAUGAGAUGACGCAGUCAGACGAGGAGGGCUCAGCGGUGGUGGAGUACGUGAAGGGUUACCCACCCAAUUCCCCAUACAUCGGCAGCUCACCAACCCUAUGCCACCUCCUGCCUGAGAAAGCCCCGUUCUGCUGCCUGCGGCUGGACAAGGGCUGCAAGCACAACAGCUUUGAAGACGCCAAGGCCUAUGGCUUUAAGAACAAGUUGAUCAUCGUGUCGGCAGAGACCGCUGGCAAUGGGCUGUAUAACUUCAUCGUCCCGCUGCGUGCCUACUAUCGGUCUCGCAAAGAGUUGAACCCAAUUGUGUUGCUUCUGGACAACAAACCAGAGCACCACUUUCUGGAAGCCAUCUGUUGUUUCCCCAUGGUUUACUACAUGGAAGGCACCAUUGACAACCUGGACAGCCUGCUGCAGUGCGGCAUCAUCUACGCUGACAACCUGGUGGUUGUGGACAAGGAGAGCACCAUGAGUGCUGAGGAGGAUUACAUGGCGGAUGCAAAGACGAUUGUCAACGUCCAGACCAUGUUCAGGCUCUUUCCCAGCCUCAGCAUCAUCACAGAGCUGACCCAUCCCUCCAACAUGAGGUUCAUGCAGUUUAGAGCAAAGGACAGCUACUCCUUAGCCCUUUCCAAGCUAGAGAAGAAAGAGCGUGAGAAUGGCUCCAACCUGGCCUUCAUGUUCCGCCUGCCCUUCGCUGCGGGGAGGGUCUUCAGCAUCAGCAUGCUGGACACGCUGCUCUACCAGUCGUUUGUCAAGGACUACAUGAUCACCAUCACCCGGCUGCUGCUGGGCCUUGACACUACACCAGGCUCUGGCUACCUCUGUGCGAUGAAGAUCACAGAGGACGACCUGUGGAUCCGCACCUACGGGCGCCUCUUCCAGAAGCUCUGCUCCUCCAGUGCUGAGAUCCCCAUCGGCAUUUACCGGACGGAGUCACACAUGUUCGCCACCUCCGAGCCCCAUGACAUCAGAGCACAGUCACAGAUCUCCAUCAACGUGGAGGACUGCGAGGAUACGAAGGAUGUGAAGGAGCACUGGGGCAUCAAGACGGGCCACCACAGGAACUCGUGCUCCAGUGACCAGUCCGAGCACCCGCUGCUGCGGCGCAAGAGCAUGCAGUGGGCACGCCGGCUGAGCAGGAAGGGCAACAAGCACUCCGGCAAGACAGCCGAGUGGAUCAGCCAGCAGCGGCUCAGCCUGUACCGCCGCUCCGAGCGGCAGGAGCUGUCCGAGCUCGUCAAGAACCGCAUGAAGCACCUGGGCUUGCCAACCACCGGCUAUGAGGAUGUAGCAAAUUUAACAGCCAGUGAUGUGAUGAAUCGGGUAAACCUGGGAUAUUUGCAAGGUAAUGCUCACUCCCUGGGAGUCACGCGUGCCUCACGGCGUGCAGCGUACAACAAGAUCAUGCCAGCUGAGCCCAAUCCACACCCUUGCCAGUUUUCACCUCAAAUACUCAGUCCUUUCACACUCCUUUGUUGGGUGGAGCUGGAAAACAAAAGGCACUGCACUGCAGCUGCAGGGCUCCCUGAUGGCAGGAGAGAAAAUGCAGGGACCCUUUGGAACCAGUGCGAGGAAAUCACAUCCCUCAGCUGUUACUGAUAGUGACCUCCUUGCAUUGCUCUGUAGGUUGACUUUGGCCUGCAAAGCCUGGAGCAGUUCAAGGAGGGGGUUUCUGUCUGCUGCUGCUGAGCAAAGCAGUGCGGGAAGGCAUCAUUUGCAGCUUUGUCCCCGGUUGGUUUGGGGUGCAGAACCCGCCUGUCCCUGCAGUCACCCCCAGACCCUGGGGAGAGGCUCAGGGUGAAGGGACUCAGCACCCAGUGCUCAGCGCGCAGCUUCAUGCAGAGGGGCUCUGGAGAGCCCAGGGGCAGCUGUGGCCUUGCUGGGCUGUGAUUCAGGCUUUGCCAGCCCAUGCUUAAGGUGAAAAGUUGGCAUUUUCCUACAGACCGUGUCCAGCCUCAAAGCCCCAGCCCAGCUGUGGCUCAUGGAAGCCCUACACAAUAUAUUGCCAGCAACUGCCAGGGCUGCGCAGAGCUCAGGGAUGGUGUUCCCCCCCCUUGGUUGUGUUCUGGCACAGCUGUGAGCCACCCCACCAGUGCCCUUCUGCAGUGUGAGCACCACGGUGUAGGUGCAGGAGCUCUGGAUCCCCUCCCCCCAAAAUUAUAUGGGGGUGCCAGUGGGGACAAGAUGAUGGCAAUACACGUGGUGGGUUCAGCAGUGCUGCAUGGGGGUCAGGAAAAGGUGCUUCCAUGGUGAAGGAGAACCUGUGUGCCCCAGGAACCCCCCCUCCAUUACGGCACAUCCCAUGCAUCCCUGGCUCUGUGUGCACCCCAGCACUGCCACCCCCAUCCCUGCUGCACUGUAGGGCUGAGCACUGGGACGGCUGAGAGCUGUGAGCCCUGUGGUCUGGGGAGCAAGCAGGGGGUGAGCAGCAAAAAGCUGAUGGGCAGGAAAGAGGAGGGGUCUGCGUGUAGACCCACCCUGUGUUCCCCAUCUUCUCAUUGCAGGGGGGGGGCCAUGCACUGUUGGCGUCCCAGUGCACAACCCUGCAGCAAGCCCGUGUCUGUCUGUCCCCUGCUGUCUGUCCCCUGUCCUGUCCAUCACAUGCCCUCGCUGUGCUCCCGCUGCUGCUUGUUCUCAGCACCUGCUUCCCCCCAUGAUCUUGUUUGGCAGCGAAGGGCCCCGAGUGUCCCGGUGCUCCAUUGGGCAUCACCGCAGCUCCAUGAUUCAGAGCCGUUCCUGAGUGGUGCUGGGGGCUCUGGGAUGCCGCAGUGAUGUCCUGCAGGCAGAAGGGCACCGUGCCUCGGCCACGUGCUGCUUGGUGCUCAUAGGUGCAACAAGGGAAGAAGGUGGCAAAGCGUGGUCACAGCCCUGGGGGGGUUUGUCUGCCCUGACCCGGUGCUCGUUGUGCUGUACUUAAUGCAGCAAGACUAACGUGUUUCAUUUUUUAUGCUCAAACAAGGUAAGACAUUUUUUUUUUCUCAUUUCUUUUUGGGGGUUGAUUUUUGAAGUGAAAAGUUUGUGAGGCUCCAGCCUGUGCCGUGGCUGGGAGCGGCUGCGGGGCUGCAGGAGGAGGCGGUGGUGCUCUCAGUGGCACGGCCAUGCUGAAGGACCCGGUGCUGUCCUCAGGGGCCAGCUGUGACCCUACCCAGCCUGAUGCUUGGAGCUCUGCAGUGGGGCUGCCAGGGCAUCCGCUGGGCUGCCCGUUGGGGUGUCCAUGGGAGCGCCCAUUGGGGCAUCCAUCAGGGUGUCCAUCGGGUGUCCGUCAGGGCGCUCUGCCAGCCCUGCCCACCAUCCCCUUCUCUCCUCCGGCAGAUGAGAUGAACGACCACCAGAACACUUUGUCCUACGUCCUGAUCAACCCACCCCCAGACACACGGCUGGAGCUGAACGACAUCGUGUACCUGAUCCGCUCCGACCCGCUGGCACACGUGGCCA